rnacentral:rRNA from 1 species
AUUGAACGCUGGCGGCAGGCUUAACACAUGCAAGUCGAGCGGAGAGAGGUAGCUUGCUACUGAUCUUAGCGGCGGACGGGUGAGUAAUGCUUAGGAAUCUGCCUAUUAGUGGGGGACAACAUUCCGAAAGGAAUGCUAAUACCGCAUACGUCCUACGGGAGAAAGCAGGGGAUCUUCGGACCUUGCGCUAAUAGAUGAGCCUAAGUCGGAUUAGCUAGUUGGUGGGGUAAAGGCCUACCAAGGCGACGAUCUGUAGCGGGUCUGAGAGGAUGUUCCGCCACACUGGGACUGAGACACGGCCCAGACUCCUACGGGAGGCAGCAGUGGGGAAUAUUGGACAAUGGGGGGAACCCUGAUCCAGCCAUGCCGCGUGUGUGAAGAAGGCCUUAUGGUUGUAAAGCACUUUAAGCGAGGAGGAGGCUACUGAGACUAAUACUCUUGGAUAGUGGACGUUACUCGCAGAAUAAGCACCGGCUAACUCUGUGCCAGCAGCCGCCGUAACAC